UACGUAGGGACCAAGCGUUGUUCGGAUUUACUGGGCGUAAAGGGCGCGUAGGCGGCGUGGUAAGUCAGCUGUGAAAUCUCCGAGCUUAACUCGGAACGGUCAGCUGAUACUGCUGUGCUAGAGUACAGAAAGGGCAAUCGGAAUUCUUGGUGUAGCGGUGAAAUGCGUAGAUAUCAAGAGGAACACCUGAGGUGAAGACGGGUUGCUGGGCUGAUACUGACGCUGAGGCGCGAAAGCUAGGGUAGCAAACGGG
rnacentral:rRNA from 1 species